UACGGAGGGUGCAAGCGUUGCUCGGAAUUAUUGGGCGUAAAGGGUAGGUAGGUGGUCUCAUUUGUCUGGGGUGAAAGCCUUGAGCUUAACUCAAGAAGUGCCCCAGAAACGGUGAGACUAGAGUCUUGGAGAGGGUCAUGGAAUUCCCGGUGUAGCGGUGAAAUGCGUAGAGAUCGGGAGGAACACCAGAGGCGAAGGCGGCGACCUGGACAAGUACUGACACUCAACUACGAAAGCGUGGGGAGCAAACAGG
rnacentral:rRNA from 1 species